ACGGUAGCAGGAGAAAGCUUGCUUUCUUGCUGACGAGUGGCGGACGGGUGAGUAAUGCUUGGGGAUCUGUCUUAUGGAGGGGGAUAACGACGGGAAACUGUCGCUAAUACCGCGUAGAGUCGGGAGACGAAAGUGCGGGACCUUAGGGCCGCAUGCCAUGAGAUGAGCCCAAGUGUGAUUAGGUAGUUGGUGGGGUAAAGGCCUACCAAGCCGACGAUCGCUAGCUGGUCUGAGAGGAUGGCCAGCCACACCGGGACUGAGACACGGCCCGGACUCCUACGGGAGGCAGCAGUGGGGAAUAUUGCGCAAUGGGGGCAACCCUGACGCAGCCAUGCCGCGUGAAUGAAGAAGGCCUUCGGGUUGUAAAGUUCUUUCGGUGAUGAGGAAGGUUGGUGUGUUAAUAGCAUGCCAACUUGACGUUAAAUACAGAAGAAGCACCGGCUAACUCCGUGCCAGCAGCCGCGGUAAUACGGGGGGUGCUAGCUUUAAUCGGAAUAACUGGGCGUAARGGGCACGUAGGCGGAC
rnacentral:rRNA from 1 species